CCACACUGACCAAUUUGGCCUGGUUGAGUUUUGGUUCGUCCUCCUGAUGCUGAAAAUUACUUUUUAAGAGGUCUGGAUUAACGUACAAGUUUAAUUCAUUAUCAUUUACUAAGCUGUGAUUAGUGCCCCAAAGAAGAAUGAAAGUAUCAACUUGAGAUAAAACACCGGAAUUAGAAUCAGAAUCAGUUGUCAACUUGGAAAGGAAAACAUCACUCACCAGUUCGUUAGUGUUACCAGUUCAUUCAUUCAUUUUAAAAGAAAGGUUUUUGCACGACAAUUAUUUAGUGUUACCAAUCGAUUCAUAUUAAAAAGACAAUUAUAUAGCGUUAUCGAUCGAUUCAUGUUAAAAUUAAAAAGCUUGCAUAUUAAAACAUGUGGAUUAAUAACCUUCCGACUAAACCAUUUUCUCAUCUAGUGGAUAGGAUCAAAUUUCAACUAACUGGAGGGCAAUGGGCCAAAUAACUAAAUCCCAUUCCACUUGCGAGGAUUGUGCCGCGUGGAGUCUCUACAAGAGAAGAGCUGAGUCACCCUCCAUUCGAUUCGCCUUCACAAUCACAAAAAUUCACCAAAAAACACAACACACAUGACAUGACGCCGCCUCUUCUCUUCCUCUUCCUCUUCCUCUUCCGUCUACGAUCCCUUCUGUAACUGGUACCUUCCUUCUUCUUGAUGCUCGUCGCCUCUUAGCUGGUUGGUUUGGUUGUAUUUUGGCUUUUCGUUUCAUGCGUUGCUUUCCUCCUCCAGUUCUAUCGAAACUUCAAUCCCAAAACUCCCACAUUCUCAUUGCAUCAUCAUAUAUUCCUUUGAUUUGGAUUUGAUUUUUAAUAUUUUGUUUCUGUUCCUCCACUCCUUUGACGUCGUCUUGGAUUUUUUUUAAAGAAAAAAGAAAGCUUUUUUUUUUCAGAGGUUUGAGAGUGGAGAUUCAAUGAUUCUUCAUCAUAAUCAUCUUCUCCUUCGUCAAUGACUUAGAAUAUACCAAUUUCGUUUAUUUAUUUUUAAUUAAAAACAAAAACCCAAAACAAAGAUUCAAUUUUUUUCUUUCUUUUUAUUAUUCUAUUCAUUUUUUGUUUGUUUUGUGUGCUUAAUGAUCACGAAGAAAAAACCUAUUUAAGAAGUGGGUUGAUAAGGGGCCAAAGUUCAUAGUUGUUGUGGUGACAACUUGGAAGGAUGAGAGCGAGAGUGAUAGUGUUUCCUGUUAGAGGGAGGAACUGGUGCUUCAGCAGAUCCAUUCAGCCUCUGGUUUCAGACUCUGCCUCUCAUAUUCCUUCAACUCUCAAAGACCUCUGGAAAAAGCUCUCCUUCUCUUCCAAAACCAAUGCCAAUGCCAAUGCCAACCCUUUUGCUGCCAACGCUGAGCUCGUCGUUGAUUUUGUCUCUACCAAGAUGAACAAUGCCUGGAUGGGGCUGGAGAAGGCGCCUCAGGGAACUUUUAAAAACAAGC